GACGAACGCUGGCGGCGUGCUUAACACAUGCAAGUCGAACGGAAAGGCCCUGCUUUUGUGGGGUGCUCGAGUGGCGAAAGGGUGAGUAACACGUGAGUAACCUGCCCUUGACUCUGGGAUAACUUCAGGAAACUGAGGCUAAUACCGGAUAGAAGAUCCUGCUGCAUGGUGGGGGUUGGAACGUUUCGGCGGUUGGGGAUGGACGCGCGGGUUAUCAGCUUGUUGGUGGGGGAGUGGCUUACCAAGGCUUUGACGGGUAGCCGGCCUGAGAGGGUGAACGGCGACAUGGGGACUGAGAGACGGACCAGAAGCGUACGGGAGGCAGCAGUGGAGAAUAUGGCAGAGUGGGCGGAAGCGUGAUGCAGCAACGCCGGGUGCGUGAUGACGGCCUGUGGGUGGUAAACCGCUUUGGCCUGUGACGAAGCGUGAGUGACGGUAAUGGGUAAAGAAGCACCGGCUAACUACGUG
rnacentral:rRNA from 1 species